AAAAUUGGAUACUUUUAUAUUUUCUCCUAACAGAUAUAAAUACUUAUUUUCAGAAACUUGUGAAAAAUUCUUAUGAUAAAAAUGAAAUCGAUUCAAGUUUUGAGGUUGAUUAUUUUUGCAUCCGUUUUCAUCCUGAUUUCCCUGAUUGAUAAGAUUGAUUCGCAAGGGCUUGGAGAGGAGUGCACAAUUCUCAUGACAAUGCAGAUGGAGGGAACAAUUUGCUCGGACUUUUGUGCCGAUGAUGGCUUCGACCUGCACCAAGGGCCUGGGGAGUGCUAUGCUGGAUUACAAUGUUGUAAUUACCAACCUUGAUGCAGAAUUUAUUUAAUUGAUGGAAUAUCUCUGAUUUAACAUUUUACUUCUCUUUGCAUGAAAAACGAUUGUUAAUAAAAAGUUUAAUACUGUA